ensembl:lncRNA
UUAGUGUAAAGUUCAGUGUGAAUAUCAGUGUAAAGUUCAGUGUAAAGUUCAGCGAAAAUAUCAGUGUAAAAAUCAGUGUAAAGUUCAGUGUAAAUAUCAGUUUAAAGGUCAGUGUAAAGCUCAGUGUAAAUAUCAGUGUUAAGUUCAGUAUAAAGUUCAGUAUAAAGUUCAGUGUAAAUAUCAGUUUAAAGAUCAGUGUAAAGUUCAUUGUAAAUAUCAGUGUAAAGUUCAGUGUAAAUAUCAGUGUAAAUAUCAGUGUAAAGUUCAGUGUAAAUAUGUCAUAUUCAGUGUAAAGUUCAGUGUAAAGUUCAGUGUAAAGUUCAGUGAUCUUUAAUCUGAUAUUUUUACACUGAACUUUACACUAGUAAAGAUCAGUAUAAAUAUCAGUGUAGUGUUCAGUGUAAAUAUCAGUGUUAAGUUUAGUGUAACGUUCAGUGUGAAUAUCAGUGUAAAGUUCAGUGUAAAUAUCAGUGUAAAAUUCAGUGGAAAGUUCUGUGUAAAUAUCAGUUUAAAGUUCAGUGUAAAUAUCAGUGAAAACAUCAGUGUAAAGUUCAGUAUAAAAAUCAGUGUAAAUAUCAGUGUAAAGUUCAGUGUAAAGAUCAGUAUAAAUAUCAGUGUAGUGUUCAGCGUAAAUAUCAGUGUUAAGUUUAGUGUAACGUUCAGUGUGAAUAUCAGUGUAAAGUUCAGUGUAAAUAUCAGUGUAAAACUCAGUGUAAAUAUCAGUGUAAUAUAUCAGUGUAAAGCUCAGUGUAAAGCUCAGUGUAAAUAUCAGUGUAAUAUAUCAGUGUUAAGUUCAGUGUAAAUAGUGUAAAGUUCAGUGUAAAUAUCAGUUUAAAGUUCAGUGUAAAGUUCAGUGUAAAGUUCAGUGUAAAUAUCAGUGUAAAAUUCAGUGUAAAGUUCAGUGUAAAUAUCAGUGUAAAAUUCAGUGUUAAGUUCAGUGUAAAAUUCAGUGUUAAGUUCAGUGUAACGUUCAGUGUGAAUAUCAGUGUAAAAUUCAAUGUAAAUAUCAGUUUAAAGUUCAGUGUAAAGUUCAGUGUAAAGUUCUGUGUAAAGUUCUGUGUAAAGUUCUGUGUAACGUUCAGUGUAAAGUUCAGUGUAAAGAUCAGUGUAAAUCUCAGUGUAAAGCUCAGUGUUAAGUUCAGUGUAAAUAGUGUAAAGUUCAGUGUAAAUAUCAGUGUAAAAUUCAGUGUAAAUAUCAGUUUAAAGUUCAGUGUAAAUAUCAGUGUUAAGUUCAGUGUAAAUAUCAGUGUAAAUAUCAGUGUAAAUAUCUGUGUUAAGUUCAGUGUAAAGUUCAGUGUAAAGUUCAGUUUAAAGAUCAGUGUAAAGUUCAGUGUAAAGCUCAGUGUAAAUAUCAGUGUUAAGUAAAGUGUAAAUAUCAGUGUAAAAUUCAAUGUAAAGUUCAGUGUGAAAAAUUCAGUUUAAAGUUCAGUGUAAAUAUCAGUGUAAAAUUCAGUGUUAAGUUCAAUGUAAAGUUCAGUGUGAAAAAUUCAGUGUAAUGUUCAGUGUAAGUUCAGUGUAAAGUUCAGUGUAAAUAUCAGUGCAAAAUUCAGUGUAAAGUUCAGUGUGAAAAAUUCAGUGUAAAGUUCAGUGAAAAUUCAGUGCAAAGUUCAGUGUAACAUUCAGUGUAAAGUUCAGCUGUGUUCCUUACAGCAGGGGUGUC